AGGCUAUAUCGACUAGGAACCUGUUUACCGGUGCCUGGAAGAUGAAUUUUAAAAGAUAAACUGCACUCGGAGAAAGUUGUAUGGAGGGGUUUUCGGACACGGGUUCAAUUCCCGUCGCCUCCACCA
rnacentral:tmRNA from 1 species